CCAGUUGCUGGCUGCUGGGAGGCUGCUAACUCCCUGGCAGACAGCAGUGCGGAUGGAUGCAGGUUGGACGGGGGCCUGGCUCCUAGGAACGGCUCCAGCUUGCCAGGCGUUUUUAGCCAAGCAGGCCAGAUUUUUAAAACGGACCGUUCCACCCUCCCGUCUGUUGGAAUCCCUACGUGCAUGAGAUGGCAGAGAUGGUACACGGGAUUAUGGUCACAAAAAGCAUCUUCAGUAUCUUCUGCUCCAAAUCCUCAGGAAACUUGUGGCUGGAGAUGCUGCAUGGACUACUCCAAACCACACAGUGAAUCUCUAAAUGCAGCCAGUUGAGACGACUGGAUGUGGCAUGCUGUACUUUGAAAAGACACAUGAAUCCCAGGUCGGCAGCACCCUAAACUAUCUUCCAUCUAAUCCGUUGGUCAAGGUGUUGCACUGAUUGUGUGUCAAGUCUGUUUCUCAUGGAGAGAGAUGCUUCAACUUCUGGUUGUUGAUAGCUUUUGGCUUUAAAGAACAAGCAAG
rnacentral:lncRNA from 1 species